AUCUUUGCACAUAACUGUUGCAUGCAUACUUGAGUACAAAUAGUGGCUUCUACAAGCAAAAAUUGAACAUGUUGGCCCCUAAUUUUUUUGCCAAUAUCCAUCACAAUAUUUGUAAAACACAUUAAACUUAUGACAUCUCAUUCAAGUGUAUGUCAAACUGAACCAUCCCAGACACAAAUAGUUGAGCACACAUCAAGUUAGACCAUCCCAGGCAUGAAGAUCUGAAUAGAUGUGAAACUGGACCAUCCCACACAUAAAUAGUUGAGCACACGUCUAGUUAGACCAUCCCAGGCAUAAAGAUCUGAGUACAUGUGAAACCAUCUCAGGCACAAAUAUUUGAGUACAUGUCACUCUAGAGUCUGGACCAUCUCACUCACUAAUGUCUGAGUACAUUAUCAAUCUGGAGCAGCAGAAGAUACACAAGAGACAUGCAAUACAUAACAUGGCAUGGACAUUUCUAGUGUUGUGCUAUUUUGAAUGCAGAGAACAGAAAAGUUGUAGCGCUUGCCUCCGGUGCUCGUGCUUCUUGCUCAUCAAGGUUUAUGUGCUGGAAAGAUGACACCAAACAUAUAGGAAUCAGUUUUGAGCACAAGACCAUGUAUGUACCACACAUCCGUAAUUAAAAAUAUUUGCUCCUGAGCUAAUCUAAUGAGUAUGCAUUAAUAAUAUCAUUUGACUAGCAGGAAGAGAACUGUACGCUGCAUAGUCAUCUGGACACUUCACUUAAUAUCAUCAGUAAACUUGCAAUAACAAUUUGGUCAGGUAUAAAUUCUGCCAUACAGGGGAGAGCUUAUUUUUUGCAUACAAAAAGGUAAAAUUUUUGCCUUUAUUUUCCAAUCAGAGUGUUAUUACAACCAAAUGAUGAAAGAGGAAAGAGCUAACAAAAUUGUUUCACUAAAGCAAAACGAUGCCCAACCACGACGGCACCUUCUUGUCCCUCUGCUCACUCACCUGUUAAUCUUCUCGCGAUGGCUGCUGCUAAUCUUUGAAUGGUUGUUGUUUGUUCGCUAGUUACACGGCUCACUCUUUUGCUAAUUUCCCAUUAGGUAGAGGUAGCUAGAUGUGCACGUGUUGGUGCUCAUGGACUCGCUGCUUAGCACGUGGUGGGUUAAUUUGGCAGAAAGAAUUCUUGUCCUUGUUUUGAUUUUCUUGCUAUCAAGUUCAUCCUUGACUACUAAUACUAGUACAUCAGAUUAACUGACGGAAAACAUUUGCCUCUGCUUAAAAUAAAGCCCGAAUAAUUCAAAUUCCUCAAGCAAUGGAUCGGCAACAUAUAUUUUUUGUACAACAACAGCAAUACAUCGAACGAUCUGACCUAUAUACAUGUUAACAAAGAGGAUAUAUACUUGAUUAUGUUAUGUUGUUGGGGCAGGCACGCAACAAGUGAUAGCAGGAUAUUUGAAUGGCUGCUACACAAGCCAGGUGCUCUGCUGCUAGUUAAACUACAGAGGUCAGGGCUAGCUACAAAACGAGUCGGCGAGUGUGGCAUUGAGGAGUGAGGUUGCGGUACAAUCGUUGUACUAUCCUCGGCUACAGGCGAUAGAAGAAAGAAUAUGCAUCAGCAUCUUUUGGUUCAAGCAAACUGAAAAUAUUUUCUCCCUGUUUGUUCAGGUAUGACAAAAACUUAACUCAAAAUAUAGAAAACUUUCUGGGAAUAAGAAAAAAUAACCAUAGAUCCAACUAGAAGAUACUUACCCAUUGAAUGAUCAUUUAUUCCCAGAAAUGGUACUCCAUUCUAUUAGUUUUGCACUCUUUUCAGCUACAUUCGAUCACAUGUGCAAGGGGUCUCCAGAGGUCCUGAAAAUAAUCAAGUCAAAUUUUCUUAUUGCAACAACUAGAAUGGGUCAGUAAUAACGUUUUCUACAAUUUCAUAUAAUGGAUCAUGUUUAAUAAGGUGCGCACCAAAGCUCAAGAUACUUAUAUGAUGGAACAAGAAAAAGGGCAAUGUGGCUGAUUGUACUGUUUUCCUAAUUUCAUCUCAAUUGAAAGAACCAUUUUGGCGCAUGGCAAACCUGCAUUCCUGAAGACCCGAGGUCUGUUCUUUGCCAUUAGCAGAUGUCCGAGCUAGGCAUGGGGUAGGGGGGCUACCUGUGGAGAAUGGCUGGAUGGGGCAAGAAAAAUAGUAGAUCGAGAAGCCACCUGUGGACAAUGACUGGAUGGGGUAAGACAAUGGUAGAUCGAGGUUGUCCUCUAGACGUCGGAGAACGAUACCUGGAGAUUUGCUGGCCCAGUGUCGCAGCGCAGCACAGAAGAG
rnacentral:lncRNA from 1 species